AUCCUACGGGACGCAGCAGUGAGGAAUAUUGGUCAAUGGGCGCAAGCCUGAACCAGCCAAGUCGCGUGAGGGAAGACGGCCCUACGGGUUGUAAACCUCUUUUGCCGGGGAGCAAGCCUGAGCACGUGUGCCCAGGCGGAGAGUACCCGGAGAAAAAGCAUCGGCUAACUCCGUGCCAGCAGCCGCGGUAAUACGGAGGAUGCGAGCGUUAUCCGGAUUUAUUGGGUUUAAAGGGUGCGCAGGCGGGUUGUUUAGCCGGCGGGAAAAAUUGAA
rnacentral:rRNA from 1 species